UUGCGUCAAAACAAGUAAAAUUGCCAGCAGUAUAUCUGUAGUAUUUUAAAAUCAGACAAAAAUAGGAUUGCUGUAUUCUUUAAUUAACAUAGCUGAAAGUUAGCCAAAUCGGCUUCGGACACAGCAGGAGACGUACAGUUUGUCCUGAUUUUGUGGGGAAUGAAAAAAAUGUAAUAGUUGGCACAUGAACUAGCUGGGCUAACUCGAAAUGUUACCAAAACAUGUUCAACUAGAUCAAAUAUGGUGGUUUACCAGAGAUUAGCCCACAUAUUUUAACAGAACAGAAGAGCACAGUUUUAAAGUUGUAUGUUACUGAAAUAAACAAAAUCUAGAGAAAGUGAUUAUCAGUGACACAAAAAUUUUGAGGAAAACUACUUACAUAUUGAAAUCAGUAAAGUCUUUUGGCCAAAUCCUGGCAUUCUUAGUGACACAGAGUAACAUCAUCCCCUACAAACAGUUUUGUUGAUUUGGGAAUCCAGCCUUCUAUGGCAAAUGAAAUUUCAAGGUGUUUCAACUGGAGUGAACAUUUUCAAUUGUCAAGAUGUCAAAAUCCACCACUUCUUAAUUUCUAUGUGCCCAGUUGCAUAAGAUGGGUUUUGAUGAGGUUAGAGGUAUAAUAUUAAUAUGGGGUAAAUUGGUUAUUAAAGAUAAACAAACAUCAACUGAGUAAACAUCUUAUUAGUGCUUACAAAAUCUAGCCUAGAUGUAGUUCCUGCCUGUAUGUGAUGGAACUGCACUGUCUUCCUAAGCAGACACUUCCUUGUAGAAAUUUAAGGGCAGAAUUCUGUCAUUCUCAAAUGCACAUCCUUAAGAAAAGAUCCCCUCAGGAGUCAUGAAAAAACUACAGAAGUCCAAUAAGAAAACCUCUGAUGAAACUAGGUGUAGGCUUCAAACCAGUCCUGUUACUAAAAGAUAAAAUGGAUUCUUCUUGAGCUAGUGAGGACUGAAUCCGGAGAAAUUCCUUGAGGAGGGGCAUUGCUACCCUCCCUGCAAAGUUUUACUGUUUUAAAUUGCAGUUCAAAUUCCUGCCAGUAAGGUGAAGAGGAUAUGCAUUAAAUUAUUUCAUGUGGCAGCUGCUCUCACCAUUCACUUCUCUGUAAACAGCCCAGCUCAGUUUGGAAGUAACACUGGCCCCUGUGCUAGAGGGCUAUGUGCAGACAGCUACCAAAUUUACAUUUAGUGGCCUUUGCAAUCCUCAGAAUUAUUUUUUUUUCAAGAACGGAAGAUUGCCUCAUUCCCAGGUAUGACAUUUCAUAGCUUUAGAAGAAACAUUUACCAGAAGAACUUUUCUAAAUUGCCUCACAGACUACAACUCUUAGUGUUUCUCUAAUCUGGGUCAUUUUGUUUCCUAGAAAGUACAGCUCAUCAUUUCAUAGGACUGACUUUCCCUUGCACAGAUGCUUUGCCUGUUAAAAAACUUUCCUUCAGAACCCACAGUAUAACAGGAGCACCCUUAGGCAAUAAUUCCCAAAUUUGGGCUUCUGACCCUUCAUGAUAUUGUAGUAGUCCUGAGUGAGGUUGUGAUUAUAGCCAAAAUUAAGUAAGCUAGAUAGUCACAGGGCUGUGAGCCAGUCUGAAGGGGAACUUGCAACGGAGUUACUAAAAAGUCAAGUGGAACACACCUUACUCUUUUACCAACUUCCAUCUUUGGGGAAUUUGAUGAUUAUACACAUCAGACUGUCGAUAAGAUGUAUCCUACAGUCACAGAGCUUGAUGAUUAUUAUAGUCCACACAUUUUACAGACAAUAAACACCAAGACAGGAAGCACAAAGACAAGAAGGGCCCCAAAGAUUAAAGGGUGAUGCAGAAAUCUAGCCUUUCCUCAAGUCAGGGCCAGUUAUUCACUUUGCAGGACACUCCACAGAGCUGUGACCUCUUUAGGUGAGACACAAGUGGUGGGCAUCCUUCCACAAAGAUCCUCAGAUCUCUUUUCUACGCUGACCCCAUAUCCCUUUGGUGGGAGGAGGUAGGAUGGCUCAGUCACCCCACAGGCCCUCUGUCACUUGUCCCUGAUACAUACUGUCAGCAAAAGCAGAAUGCAUCCAGGUUCUUUGGUACACAAAGGGAUAUGUGGGAGCAUUUGUCCCCUUAGAGACUUUGUAUGAGUAGAGGGAGCAGUGUUGAAAACAAAGACAUAAUUCUAGAGCUCCUGCAAAAACAUCUGGCCAGCACUGUCUCUUAAAAAAACAGACUGGAGGAAUGUAAACAUGUGUUUGGCCAGUAAAGAAGUCGUUACAUAAAUGCUAAUUAUGAAGAGGAUUUCCCAUGUGUACAGGGCUUUUGACAGAACUUUGAUCCCAUGCAGGACACAAGUCUCAGGAGUCACAUGCUCUGCCUUAGAACUAUGCCGACACUUCUCUGAGCCCUAAGAAGCUGCAAGGACAUUUGCUGUAGCACAGGAACAGAAGAAGCUUUGAUGAUUGAAAAUGAAGUUUGCACAGCAUCAUGCUGAAGCAACUCCCUGUUUAAUUAAACAGUUCCAUUGGUCAGAACUUAAGUCCUUUAGCAAUGGAAUUUCUUGAAUGUCAUCAAAAGAAGUCAAACCCAGAUGUGGACUGUGCCUGCUCAGUAUGUCAGAAGUGGAACCAGCUUUCUGUAGUUUCCCAUGCUGCAGUGAGAGAAGGAUUAAAAACUAAGGUAUUUGAACACCAUGAAAUUACCCACAAAUGGAGCAGUGAAUGUGUUCACAAGGACUCUUUGCAAAUAAACAAAAAAAUGUCACCACUUGGAUAAAACAAGGAUUGUAAAUAAAAUGCCAAGAUCAAAUAGCAGCUGUACCCACUGGAGCUGGAACUGAAACAAUCUGAUCCACUGAAUUUACUACUUAACAAACAAGAGUUUGACUGAUAAAAAUGCUCUUAAGCCUUUCUAGCUUUGUGGUAGAUACAAGAUCACUCCAAAGUGGCUUUACAGGAGCAGGCUGUACUGGUGGAGCAUGGCAACAGUUUGACUUUUUUCUAAGGAGUGGGUUUGGCAUCUGCUGAACAGGUUGUACAAUCAUAGAAUCAUAGAAUGGUUUGGGUGGGAAGGGAUCUUAAAAGACCAUUGAGUUCCAACUCCCCUGCCAUAAGCAGGGACAUCUUCCACUAGGCACAUUGCUCACAGCCCCAUCCAACCUGACCUUGAAUGUUUCCAGGGAUAGGGAAUCUACCGGCUCUCUGCAGCAAUCUAUGCCACUGCCUCAUCACUCUCCCAGUAAAGAAUUUUUUCCAAAUAUCUAAUCUAAACCUUCCCUCUCUCAGUUUAAAGCCAUUUCUUCUGGUCCUGCACUACAUUCCCUUGUCACGUCUCUCUCCAUCUUUCUCCUAAGCCCCCUUUUACUGGAAGGCUGCAAUAAAGUCUCUUUGAAGGCAGAACAACCCCUUCUCUCAGCCUCUCCUUACAGGAGAGGUGCUCCAGCCCUCUGAUAACUUUUGUGGCCCUCUGGUCCCACUCCAACAUGGUCAUGUCUUUCUCCACUGAGGACUCCAGGGCUGGACAUAGUACUUCAGACAGGGUGUCACCAGAGUGGAGUACAGACAUGAGGCUCACCACUACAAGCCAAACACAUAGUCUGAAAAACACCACGAAGUUUAGAUUUCUGUUUUAUUUCCAUUCUGCAUUUGGAGGCAGAAGCUACUGUCUUCAGUGAACUUGUCAUUAACAGGAUGAGAAUGAUACAGGACAAGUCUCUGACUCCAUUUCUGCUACGGUAAAGCUGAAGUAAUUCUGACUAUUGGGAUGUUUUGCUAUGGAUGACCACUUUUGAGCAUUUAACUGUUUAUUUAGUCCCUUCAGUAGAAUCACUGAUGUUAAGAGUAACCAAGCAUGGUCUCAGUUGGCCAAUUAUUAAAUAAAGAAGAUAAGAUUGCAGUUGUGGGCAAAUUUCACACACACAGUACCACUGAUCUUCUCACAGUGAUACGGUGUAGAAAGACAACCUGUCCUGGUUUUAACAGUAUAGGAACCAGGCAUCUGAGACAGAGAUGGUUUCACUCGGGUAUUUUUAGAGGCAUCACGAUCUAUUUGUUUGGCAAUUUGUUUGAUUGUGGUUUAACUUUUAAAAAUCUGGAAAUCAGCUUUCUUCUUUGUGGCAGCAGAGAAUUUUUCAUCAUUUUCAGCAAAAACAGUAUAAGGCAUGGAAUCUGGAACAGAUAUGGUUUUCUUUGGGAUAUGUAUCAGAAGUUGGAGUUAAUGGGUAGCAAUAACGGAAAUAAAAUAAAAUUCUAGCUUAAA